rnacentral:misc_RNA from 1 species
UACACUUCACUCAAGGUGCAACGGUUAUAACAAUUAGUUGAUAGAUUACAAGGUUAUGAAGAAUGGAUUGAACAUCUUUUUCACUAUUGGGGCAUUGCACUUGCGGUGGAAGGGGUAGUGGCUCGAUCAGCAUCGAUCAUUGAUUUGAUAUAGUAUUCCCCAGCUUUGUACGAGGAUCGAACCAUGGGGCCAGAAGCAACAUAACGGAAUCCCAUUUCCAUGCCAAGUAACCGAUACUUCUCGAAAGCUUCUGGUGUAACAUAUUCGGAGACUGCCAUAUGCCGCUUUGAUGGCCUCAUAUACUGACCAAAUGUCAUGACAUCAACUCCUGCAGCCCUCACUUUCUCCAUUGUGCUAAUCACUUGAUCAGGUGUUUCCCCACAACCCAACAUUAUGGAAGUCUUUGUAAGGGUGCCAGCAGGAGCAUAUG